GACGAACGCUGGCGGCGCGCCUAACACAUGCCAGUCGAGCGAUGAAAUUUUAACCGAUCUCUUCGGAGAGAAGAUAAAAUGGAUUAGCGGCGGACGGGUGAGUAACACGUGAGAAACCUGCCUUUCACAAGGGGAUAGCCUCGGGAAACCGGGAUUAAUACCCUAUGACACAUUUCCUUCGCAUGGAAGAAAUGUUAAAACUCCGGUGGCGAAAGAUGGUCUCGCGCCUGAUUAGCUAGUUGGUGGGGUAACGGCCCACCAAGGCCAUGAUCAGUAACCGGCCUGAGAGGGUGAACGGGCACAUUGGAACUGAGACACGGUCCAAACUCCUACGGGAGGCAGCAGUGGGGAAUAUUGCACAAUGGAGGAAACUCUGAUGCAGCGACGCCGCGUGAGCGAUGAAGGCUUUCGAGUCGGAAAGCUCGGUCCUAUGGGAAGAUAAUGACGGUACCAUAGGAGGAAGCCCCGGCUAACUACGUG
rnacentral:rRNA from 1 species